rnacentral:rRNA from 1 species
UACGUAGGCAGCAAGCGUUGUUCGGAGUUACGUGGGCGUAAAGGGUGUCGUAGGCGUGCGGUAAGUCGGGUGUGAAUCUCCGAGCUUAACUCGGAGCGGUCAUUCGAAACUGCCGUGCUAGAGUGUGGGAGAGGAGAGUGGAAUUCCCGGUGAUAGCGGUGAAAUGCGUAGAUAUCGGGAGGAACACCAGCGGCGGAAGGCGGCUCUCUUGGACCACAACUGACGCUGAGGCACGAAAAGCUAGGGGAGGCAA